GUGUGAAUUCACAGAGUACACUCGAAGAAACAUGGUUACAGGUGAGCAACCUGUCCUUCUUAGCGGUCUAUGAACCACAAGUUAAAAAUUCAUCUAUUAUAGUUAGUUUGUUUCAGUUCCUUUCUUAAUUAAAGGGAAUGGUCCCUCCUUUGAUUAUUUCAUGCUGAAAAAAUUAAAUAUUUUAACAGUUCCUUUUUAAAGCACAUCACCAAGCUAGCAGAUGAUAAUAGAAACAAAAAUUGGCUAGUAUACAGGCCUAGCUCUGUUAACAAAGCCUUUGAACAAAAGAAGCUCCUUUUUACAUCUAUAUUGCCCCACUUUUCCUCCUAACCCUCUGUCUAGCAGGAUUUUUUUUCCUUAGGAGCAUCAGCAUUAGGAAUAAAAAGAAGGAGUGGUCCAAAAACACAGGAUGUUGGUGUUGCUUUGCAGCAGUAUGUCUGCAGUAAAUAUUACAAGCUGGAAAAUAUUGGCUUUCUACUUUAGCCAACCCUGUGUACCUACCUACAACAGAGAAGAUGAAUAGCCACUGCCUUCAAAAUCCAUUAUUGAGCAUGCAUAAACACAAAAGAGAGGAAAGUAGAUAAACUGCUCUUGCCAGCUUACCCUACAUGUUAAUGAAUCAUCAAUAACUUGCCACCAAACUGGAAAUAUUAAAGUUAGUGAAGGGUGGUGAAGGAGAAGUCACCCCUGGAUUUAUUUCGGAAGAAGCUCACAAGUUGUCUCUCAUUUAAAGUGUUUAUAUAUUUAUGCAAGGCUUACCUGACCUGGUUAUUUCAUCUUCUAUGUGUAUAUUGUUAGCUUUGGAUAAAACGUUUGGUGAAAUAUGUUGGACUGCUCGUCUUUUUUGUUGUGCAGGAAAAUAUCCCUAUUCUUUCAUGUUAUUUUUUACCUCAGAUACCAAAUUUUCUGUUAAAGAAGUAAUGCCCAGGAACACAUCUACUUCCUUAACUGAGUAGGCUCCUACCCAGAGACUCAGGCGUCCGAAGCUCCAGCAGCAGCGCAGAUGGACGGGCCCGAUCUAGCCUUCCCCAUUUCACCCCGGUCUAGCAAGAGUCGCAUGUCUAUGAAGCUGCGGCGAUCCUCUGGCUCAGCAAACAAGACCUGAGAACAGGGCACAAUUCUAAAGCCAGUACGCCCUUGGAAUCAGACUCGCUAUGCUGAAUAUUUGUUCUAUAUUCCUCCAUUCUUAUGUUAAUUUUAGAGAAUGAUAUGGAAAUUUUAUUUCAAACUAAAAAUAUUUUAGCUUUCGUUAGAAUAUUUUUUUAUCAAACUUCCUGCUGCCAUACUUUGCCAGUGCAGGUUCCCUUUUUUGCACUUUUUAAUUUUUUUCUUUGAGAUAUGUUCAGCUGUUAGGUAACCACUCUGUUUUAACCUUUAGGAGUGAUUGCUAGCCACCCUGGAGCUGGAGACUGCAGGCAUGUUCCAGUCUUAUUUAUUGUGCAACCCUUUCAAUAAUAAAAAUGUACCAUUUUUCAAAUGACAAGGCAUUUCUGAAGUCUUCUGCAAGGCUCACUAGAACACUCAGAAUUACGUACAGAGUAUGUGUGUAUGUAUGAAGGAUAAAAAUCCUUUCAAGUAAGCAUCAUCACCUCUGGUAUUGUCAUUCACUGCUGGACAGAGCAGCUGAAGUACUCGUGCUGAAGUGCUUUCUACUCCCUUGCAGUUAUUUGCUUUCCUCUUGGGACUUAUGGCUACAGUCAGCCUUCCUUUUCCAAAAAGUGAAACUGUCCAUUAAUCUAGCUGUAAGAUAAACACACAUACACACUCACACAUAUAUUUUUCAAGCACUUUGCCAUGUCAAUCAUUUGCUCCAAGCUGUGUCGGUUACAGGGAGGAAAGGGAUUAUGCCCUUGUAGCGGCCAACUUAUACGCUAACACAUUCCACUCCAAAUUCCCACUAUCCCCCAAACGUAUUUUCAUACCGAAGAAGAAAUACAGCUGCAUUGUUUGCCAUAUUCUGCUCUAACAAAAUGUAGCAUGGCACUGGUACUAACUGCAUGUGUAAAUAUCUGCCUUCACCCGGGCAACUAUAGAAAUAUAUAUUGAUGUUUUUGUUCACCGUGUAGUAUAUACAGAUUUGUAAUGGUUGAAGAAAAGACAUGCUAUUUAAUAAUACAAUAAAACUAUUCUUACCACUUUCUGUGUGUUCUGUAUUCUACAAGUGCCGAUUUGCACAAACCUCCUUGAUGUAAAGAAAAGCAGAAGACAGCUAUGAAAUAAAUAGCUGAUCAUUUGGUUGUAAGAUUGCAAAGCCCCUGCACUAAUCUUUUUCACUUAAAACAAUUUUGUUCACAGAUGACUUGGUUAGUUCACUUUCUUUAGUACUGUUUAAUAAUUUUGAUUAACCAGCUUGAUAAAGCUGUACAAAGUAAACUAUUUACUUUGUGCUGAAAACAUCUUUUAACAAGCCUUUAAACAAUCUUUUAACAAGCCAAAAAAAUCUGUGAAAAUUGCUUUCUUGUGUGUUUGUAAGACUAAAUUCAGAACAAAUACCUACAUUGUACAGCUUACAGUGCAAAAAAUAACUUCCAGAACAUUAUCUGAAAGAAGUGUUGUUUAAAACAAUUCAGCUGAAAAAUAUUCCUCAGCUUACUGCUUUUAAAUUAUAUGUAGAAGUCGUUUUUCAGGUGGUAUGGUAGUGUCAAAAUAACAUGGAUAAAUUAUAUGCAAUUCAUUGAAAAGCAUUUUAUGUGCAAAAUGAAUAAAAUUUCACCUAAAAUAUUCCUCAUCUUAGUUCUUAUAAAUUAUAUGUAGAAGUCAU
rnacentral:lncRNA from 11 species